rnacentral:lncRNA from 1 species
GGCUGCAGUCCAUGGGGUUGCUAAGGGUCUGAAAUAACUGAGCAACUUCACUUUCACUUUUCACUUUCAUGCGUUAGAGAAGGAAAUGGCAACCCACUCCAGUGUUCUUGCCUGGAGAAUCCCAGGGACAGAGGAGCCUGGUGGGCUGCCGUCUAUGGGGUCGCACAGAGUCAGACACGACUGAAGCAACUUAGCAGCAGCAGCAGCAGCAGCAGCAGUCUGGAGUUCACUAGAUAAAGAGAUUCAGCUUCAAAGACGCUUGUGUGCUGCUGUAGCUUCAACCAAGAAAGAGUAUCGUGAAAAUACAAACUCAACCAACCAGACCUCAUUCAGGACAAAUUCACCAGCCCACCAGGCUCCUCUGUCCAUGGGAUUUUCUAGGCAAGAAUACUAGAGUGGAUUGCCAUUUCCUUCUCCAGAGGAUCUUUCCCAAGCCAGGAAUUGAACCCAGGUCUCCUGCAUUGCAUGCAGAUUCUUUACCAACUGAACUAUGAGGGAAGCUCAUAUAUUUUUCUUAUAUAUUAAUCUAUAUGUAUAUCCUAUAUGUGUGUGUGUGCAUUAAGUUGCUAC